GAAAACCACUCUGCUCAUUGCCCUCGAGUAGGCUGUGCCCUAAAAUUGCCCAAACGUGCCCGAAGGUGCCUGAGUGAGUCCUGAAGCCAAGAAAAAAACUGGACGGUGCAUAGCAACCGUGUUACUUUGUUUGUUUAUAAAGCUUGAAAAAUUCUGUCGGUGUUGAGUUUUCGGUCCUGCUGGAUUAAAUCUAUUGUUACAAAGUAUUGUCAUUUAAUUGUUGAAAAAAGCGAUUAAAAAAAUAUUAUAAAAUCAAACACACACGGAUUGAACCCAUUGGA